UGGAUCUUAAAUGUCCCUCAAUGUCACAUGU
rnacentral:piRNA from 2 species